AGUGAACGCUGGCGGUAGGCCUAACACAUGCAAGUCGAACGGCAGCACAGGAGAGCUUGCUCUCUGGGUGGCGAGUGGCGGACGGGUGAGGAAUACAUCGGAAUCUACUCUGUCGUGGGGGAUAACGUAGGGAAACUUACGCUAAUACCGCAUACGACCUACGGGUGAAAGCAGGGGACCUACGGGCCUUGCGCGAUUGAAUGAGCCGGUGUCGGAUUAGCUAGUUGGCGGGGUAAAGGCCCACCAAGGCGACGAUCCGUAGCUGGUCUGAGAGGAUGAGCAGCCACACUGGAACUGAGACACGGUCCAGACUCCUACGGGAGGCAGCAGUGGGGAAUAUUGGACAAUGGGCGCAAGCCUGAUCCAGCCAGACCGCGUGGGUGAAGAAGGCCUUCGGGUUGUAAAGCCCUUUUGUUGGGAAAGAAAUCCAGCUGGCUAAUACCCGGUUGGGAUGACGGUACCCAAAGAAUAAGCACCGGCUAACUUCGUGCCAGCCGCCGCAGUAA
rnacentral:rRNA from 1 species